GUGUCAGCAGCCGCGGUAAUACGAAGGUCUCAAGCGUUGUUCGGAUUUACUGGGCGUAAAGCGUCUGUAGGCGGAGUGGUAAGCCAGAUGUGAAAUCCCGGGGCUCAACCCCGGAACUGCAUCCGAUACUGCCACCCUAGAGGGUCGGAGGGGAGUCUGGAAUUCUCGGUGUAGCAGUGAAAUGCGUAGAUAUCGAGAGGAACACUAGUGGCGAAGGCGAGACUCUGGACGACACCUGACGCUGAGAGACGAAGGCCAGGGUAGCGAAAAGGAUUAGAUACCCUUGUAGUCCUGGCAGUAAACGGUGCACGCUUGGUGUGGGGAGGUUCGACCCUCUCCGUGCCGGAGCUAACGCGUUAAGCGUGCCGCCUGGGGAGUACGGUCGCAAGAUUAAAACUCAAAGAAAUUGACGGGGACCCGCACAAGCGGUGGAGCAUGUGGCUUAAUUCGAUGCAACGCGAAGAACCUUACCUGGGCUUGACAUGUUAGUCGUAGACUUAUGAAAGUUUGUCGUCACUUCGGGUGGACUAUCACAGGUGCUGCAUGGCUGUCGUCAGCUCGUGUCGUGAGAUGUCAGGUUAAGUCCUAUAACGAGCGCAACCCCUAUGAACUGUUGCCAGCGAGUAAUGUCGGGGACUCUGUUCAGACUGCCCAGAUUAACUGGGAGGAAGGAGGGGAUGACGUCAAGUCAGUAUGGCCCUUACGCCCAGGGCUGCACACGUGCUACAAUGUCCAGUACAAUACGAUCCGAGACCGCGAGGUGGAGGAAAUCUCAAAAACUGGGCUCAGUUCGGAUUGUAGGCUGCAACUCGCCUACAUGAAGUUGGAAUCGCUAGUAAUGGUACAUCAGCUACGGUACCGUGAAUACGUUCCCGGGUCUUGCACACACCGCCCGUC
rnacentral:rRNA from 1 species